rnacentral:rRNA from 1 species
AGGUUACUGCUAUCGGUGUUCGCCUAAGCCAUGCGAGUCAUAUGUUCGUAAGAACAUGGCGUACUGCUCAGUAACACGUGGAUAACCUGCCCUUGGGUCCGGCAUAACCCCGGGAAACUGGGGAUAAUUCCGGAUAACGCACAUAUGCUGGAAUGCUUUAUGCGUAAAAUGGAUUCGUCUGCCCAAGGAUGGGUCUGCGGCCUAUCAGGUAGUAGUGGGUGUAAUGUACCUACUAGCCUACGACGGGUACGGGUUGUGAGAGCAAGAGCCCGGAGAUGGAUUCUGAGACAUGAAUCCAGGCCCUACGGGGCGCAGCAGGCGCGAAAACUUUACAAUGCGGGAAACCGUGAUAAGGGGACACCGAGUGCCAGCAUCCUAUGCUGGCUGUCCGGGUGUGUAAAAUACACCUGUUAGCAAGGGCCGGGCAAGACCGGUGCCAGCCGCCGCGGUAACACCGGCGGCCCGAGUGGUGAUCGUGAUUAUUGGGUCUAAAGGGUCCGUAGCCGGUUUGGUCAGUCCUCCGGGAAAUCUGACAGCUUAACUGUUAGGCUUUCGGAGGAUACUGCCAGACUUGGAACCGGGAGAGGUAAGAGGUACUACAGGGGUAGGAGUGAAAUCUUGUAAUCCCUGUGGGACCACCUGUGGCGAAGGCGUCUUACCAGAACGGGUUUGACGGUGUGGGACGAAAGCUGGGGGCACGAACCGGAUUAGAUACCCGGGUAGUCCCAGCCGUAAACGAUGCUCGCUAGGUGUCAGGCAUGGCGCGACCGUGUCUGGUGCCGCAGGGAAGCCGUGAAGCGAGCCACCUGGGAAGUACGGCCGCAAGGCUGAAACUUAA